rnacentral:rRNA from 1 species
UUGAACGCUGGCGGCAUGCUUUACCCAUGCAAGUCGAACGGUAACAGGCCGCAAGGUGCUGACGAGUGGCGAACGGGUGAGUAAUGCAUCGGAACGUGCCCAGUCGUGGGGGAUAACUACUCGAAAGAGUAGCUAAUACCGCAUACGAUCUAUGGAUGAAAGCGGGGGACCGUAAGGCCUCGCGCGAUUGGAGCGGCCGAUGUCAGAUUAGGUAGUUGGUGGGGUAAAGGCUCACCAAGCCAACGAUCUGUAGCUGGUCUGAGAGGACAACCAGCCACACUGGGACUGAGACACGGCCCAGACUCCUACGGGAGGCAGCAGUGGGGAAUUUUGGACAAUGGGCGCAAGCCUGAUCCAGCAAUGCCGCGUGCAGGAAGAAGGCCUUCGGGUUGUAAACUGCUUCUGUACGGAACGAAACGGCUCUGGUUAAUACCCGGGGCUAAUGACGGUACCGUAAGAAUAAGCACCGGCUAACUACGUG